CGCAGAAUGGUGUAAAGGUAGCACGUUAGGCUCUGAACCUAAAGAUGUUGGUUCGAUUCCAGCUUCUGCAA
rnacentral:tRNA from 1 species